GCGCCAUAACACCGGCUCCUCGGUGGAUAAAAGGGCAGCGCUUGGCCCCUUGAUGCUUCAGUUCAGAUCCGUCCUACGUCGCUUGCUCAUCCGGCACAGUUGGUUGGGAUUUCCAUGAUGACUUUUCGAGGAAUAAGUGUGUGCGUGGUGUGUGUCGCCGUGAUGCUGAUGACGUGCUCUGCCCAGGCGAGCACCGAACAGAAAGUUAAAAGGGGCUUCAUGAAACCCGGUUCCUGUCCUCCUGUCACGACGAAACAGCUUGUACUAGGCGGCCUCAAAAAUCUGAAUUGCCACAAGGAUAUGGAUUGUGAUCUCAUUGAAAAAUGUUGCUUGGUUCCUGGUGGGUUAUCUUGUGUUCAGCCAAAGUUCUGAU